GGGGAAUUAGCUCAUCUGGUAGAGCACUCGAUUUGCAUGCGAGAGGUACCUAGAUCGAGACUCGCAUUCUCCA
rnacentral:tRNA from 1 species